GACGAACGCUGGCGGCAUGCCUAAUACAUGCAAGUCGAGCGGAGUUGAUGGAAAGCUUGCUUUCCUGAUACUUAUCGGCGGACGGGUGAGUAACACGUAUGCAACCUGCCCUCAAGCUUGGGACAACUACCGGAAGAGGUAGCUAAUACCGAAUACUUGUUUUCUUCGCGUGAAGGAAACGGGAAAGACGGAGCAAUCUGUCACUUGGGGAUGGGCCUGCGGUGUAUUAGCUAGUUGGUGAGGCAACGGCUCACCAAGGCGACGAUGCGUAGCCGACCUGAGAGGGUGAUCGGCCACACUGGGACGGAGACACGGCCCAGACUCCUACGGGAGGCAGCAGUAGGGAAUCUUCCGAAAUGGGCGAAAGCCUGACGGAGCAAUGCCGCGUGAGUGAUGAAGGUUUUCGGAUCGUAAAGCUCUGUUGCCAGGGAAGAACGCUUGGGAGAGUAACUGCUCCCAAGGUGACGGUACCUGAGAAGAAAGCCCCGGCUAACUACGUGCCAGCAGCCGCCGUAA
rnacentral:rRNA from 1 species